rnacentral:rRNA from 1 species
UGUAGUCAUAUGCUUGUCUCACAUAUUAAGCCAUGCAUGUCUAAGUAUAAGCAACUAUACAGUGAAACUGCGAAUGGCUCAUUAAAUCAGUUAUCGUUUAUUUGAUAGUACCUUACUACUUGGAUAACCGUGGUAAUUCUAGAGCUAAUACAUGCUAAAAAUCCCGACCUCCGGAAGGGAUGUAUUUAUUAGAUAAAAAACCAAUGCCCUCGGGCUCCUUGGUGAUUCAUGAUAACUUAACGAAUCGCAUGGCCUUGCGCCGGCGAUGGUUCAUUCAAAUUUCUGCCCUAUCAACUUUCGAUGGUAGGAUAGUGGCCUACCAUGGUUUCAACGGGUAACGGGGAAUUAGGGUUCGAUUCCGGAGAGGGAGCCUGAGAAACGGCUACCACAUCCAAGGAAGGCAGCAGGCGCGCAAAUUACCCAAUCCCAAUUCGGGGAGGUAGUGACAAUAAAUACUGAUACAGGGCUCUUUUGGGUCUUGUAAUUGGAAUGAGUACAAUUUAAAUCCCUUAACGAGGAACAAUUGGAGGGCAAGUCUGGUGCCAGCAGCCGCGGUAAUUCCAGCCCCAAUAGCGUAUAUUAAAGUUGUUGCAGUUAAAAAGCUCGUAGUUGAACCUUGGGUCUGGCUGCUCGGUCCGCCUAACCGCGUGCACUGAUGCGGCCGGAUCUUUCCUUCUGGCUAACCUCAUGCCGUUUACUCGGUGUGCUGGGGAUCCAGGACUUUUACUUUGAAAAAAUUAGAGUGUUCAAAGCAGGCCUUUGCUCGAAUACAUUAGCAUGGAAUAAUAGAAUAGGACGGCGGUUCUAUUUUGUUGGUUUCUAGAGCCACCGUAAUGAUUAAUAGGGAUAGUCGGGGGCAUCAGUAUUCAAUUGUCAGAGGUGAAAUUCUUGGAUUUAUUGGAGACUAACUACUGCGAAAGCAUUUGCCAAGGAUGUCUUCAUUAAUCAGUGAACGAAAGUUAGGGGAUCGAAGACGAUCAGAUACCGUCGUAGUCUUAACCAUAAACUAUGCCGACUAGGGAUCGGGCGGUGUUCUACUUAUGACCCGCUCGGCACCUUACGAGAAAUCAAAGUUUUUGGGUUCUGGGGGGAGUAUGGUCAAAGGGCUGAAACUUAAAGGAAUUGACGGAAG